CCCUUAGAUGCCCUGGGCCGCACGCGCGCUACACUGAGUGUCUGAGAUACGAGUCUGCCUGGUCCGGCAAGGUCUAGGUAAUCGCUAAAAGACACAUCAUGCUUGGGAUAGAUUAUUGCAAAUAUUAAUCUUGAACGAGGAAUUCCUAGUAAGCGCAAGUCAACAGCUUGCGUUGAUUACGUCCCUGCCCUUUGUACACACCGCCCGUCGCUACUACUGAUUGGAUGUUUAAGCGAGGUUCUCGAACUGCUAGCGACUUAGCUUCGGUGAGGUCGCAGUGUGGGAAGUGAACCUAGCUUUGGUGUCUAGAGGAAGUAAAAGUCGUAACA
rnacentral:rRNA from 1 species